rnacentral:rRNA from 1 species
CUACGGGAUGCUCCAGUUAGGUAUAAUCUACAAUGCGCGCAAGCGUGAUAGUUUGAGCCAGAGUGCUUUUCUAUUUGAAAAGCUUUUGUGGAAUGUAAAAAGUUCUACGAAUAAGGACUGGGUAAGACGAGUGCCAGCCGCCGCGGUAAUACUCGCGGUCCAAGUCGCAGCCAUUUUUAUUGGGUCUAAAACAUCCGUAGCUUGCUAAGUAAGUUUCUUGUGAAAUUUUAUGUCUUAAACAUAGAGCGUGCAAGAAGUACUACUAAGCUAGAGACUGGGAGGCGUAAGAAGUACGUUCGAAGUAGCGGUAAAAUGUGUUAAUCUCGGACGGACUCACAAUUAGCGAAGGCAUCUUACGAGAACAGUUCUGACAGUAAGGGAUGAAGGCCAGGGGCGCAAAACGGAUUAGAUACCCUCGUAGUC